GGGUGGCGAGUGGCGGACGGGUGAGUAAUGUCUGGGGAUCUGCCCGAUAGAGGGGGAUAACCACUGGAAACGGUGGCUAAUACCGCAUAACGUCGCAAGACCAAAGAGGGGGACCUUCGGGCCUCUCACUAUCAGAUGAACCCAGAUGGGAUUAUCUAGUAUGUGGGGUAACGGCUCACCUACGCCACUAUCCCUAUCUGGUCUGAGAGGAUGACCACCCACACUGGAACUGACACACGGUCCACACUCCUACGGGAGGCAGCAGUGGGGAAUAUUGCACAAUGGGCGCACCCCUGAUGCACCCAUGCCGCGUGUAUGAAGAACGCCUUCGGGUUGUAAAGUACUUUCAGCGGGGAAGAAGGGAUGAAUCUUAAUACUCUUCGUCUUUGACGUUACCCGCAAAAAAAGCACCGGCUAACUCCGUGCCAGCAGCCGCGGUAAUACAGAGGGUGCAAGCGUUAAUCAGAAUUACUGGGCGUAAAGCGCACGCAGGCGGUCUGUCAAGUCAGAUGUGAAAUCCCCGGGCUUAACCUGAGAACUGCAUUCAAAACUGGCAGGCUAGACUCUUGUAGAGGGGGGUAGAAUUCCGUGUGUAGCGGUGAAAUGCAUAGAGAUCUGGAAGAAUACCGGUGGCGAACGCGGCCCCCUGGACAAACACUGACUCUCAUGUGCGAAAGCGUGGGGAGCAAACGAGAUUAUAUACCCUGGUACUCCACGCCGUACACUAUGUCCACUUGGACGCUGUUCUCUUGAAGAGUGGCUUCCGGAUCUAACGCGUUAAGUCCACCGCCUGGGGAAUACGGCCGCAAGGUUAAAACUCAUAUGAUUUGACGGGGGCCCACACAAGCGGUGGAGCAUGUGGUUUAUUUCUAUGCAACGCGAAGAACCUUACCUGGCCUUGAAAUCCACAAAACUUGGCAAAAAUGCUUUGUUCCCUUCGAAACCCUAAAAAAAGGUGCUGCA
rnacentral:rRNA from 1 species